rnacentral:lncRNA from 1 species
CCGCACCCCACCGCCGCCAGCUCCCGAUCUGCUCACGAACUAAUGGCUGAAGAGUAAAUCAACAUGGCGACUAUGGUUCCACCAGUGAAACUGAAAUGGCUCGAACACCUGAAUAGCUCCUGGAUCACAGAGGACAGCGAAUCUAUUGCUACAAGAGAGGGAGUUACUGUUUUGUAUUCUAAACUGGUCAGCAAUAAGGAAGUAGUACCUUUGCCUCAACAGGUUUUAUGCCUCAAAGGACCACAGUUGCCUGACUUUGAACGUGAGUCUCUUUCAAGUGAUGAACAGGACCAUUAUUUGGAUGCCCUUCUUAGCAGCCAGCUAGCACUAGCAAAGAUGGUAUGUUCAG